GCUGAAGAGAACUGAUUUCUUCGCCUGCAUUAUUAUGUGCUUCUCCUCAUCCGUGAUGGUGUUGAACUGGGAAGCAAAGGUUAAGGCAUUAAGAAGCAGCUCUUCGGUAAUGGAUGGGUAAAAAUUUACGAUAUCAAAACAAAUGAACGAACGAGAUGACUUGUUAGGUAAAUUCUUAAACCAUGAAAUAACAGAGUUCGUGUUUUUCGAUUGAUUUAAGUUAGUAUGGAUCAAAAUAUUUGAAUUGAUACUUUGCAGGAGUUGUUUACUGAUGACACCGAUUUCUGAUUUGGAAGGGUUGAUUAGUCUACAGGUUGGAUUGUUCUGAAAAUUUGGUUUGUGAUCUUUCAAUGUUACGAAGCUAUUUUUGGGUGCUAAUGCGUCGAUUCGGUUCGCAAGUCCAAGAUUCUCAGCUAUAAUCUUUUCCUCAUUUGCUAUAUUGGAAGUAAUGUUCGCGUUAGCUUUCUUGUAGGACAUCGAAUAAAUAUAGAUUUAAAAUAGGACUUUGAAUAAAUCUUAUGAAGUAAACCAGGUUUAUUUUAUCGUUAUCUAUAUUAGCUCUAUACUUCGGUAUAUCGAGCACUCUCAUUUGGUCUAUC